GGCUCAGGACGAACGCUGGCGGCGCGCCUAACACAUGCAAGUCGAACGGGACUAGUGACCGGAGUGCAGAGUAAGUCUGCGUUGCGAUCACUAGUUCAGUGGCGGACGGGUGAGUAAAGCAUGAGCAACCUGGCUACUAGAGGGGGAUAGCUUUUGGAAACAGAAGAUAAUACCGCAUACAUCAGAGAUUUCGCAUGAAGUUUUUGGAAAAGGAGCAAUCCGCUAAUAGAUGGGCUCAUGUCCGAUUAGCUAGUUGGUAGGGUAAAGGCCUACCAAGGCGACGAUCGGUAGCCGUACUGAGAGGUUCAACGGCCACAUUGGGACUGAGACACGGCCCAGACUCCUACGGGAGGCAGCAGUGAGGAAUAUUGCGCAAUGGAAGGAAACUCUGACGCAGCGACGCCGCGUGAGGGAAGAAGGUUUUCGAAUUGUAAACCUCUGUCCUCAGGGAAGAAAAAAUGACGGUACCUGGGGAGGAAGCCCCGGCUAACUACGUGCCAGCCGCAGC
rnacentral:rRNA from 1 species